CGGAGCAAUCUGGCGACGAGUGGCGAACGGGUGAGUAAUAUAUCGGAACGUGCCCAGUCGUGGGGGAUAACGUAGCGAAAGUUACGCUAAUACCGCGUACGAUCUAAGGAUGAAAGCGGGGGAUCGCAAGACCUCGCGCGAUUGGAGCGGCCGAUAUCAGAUUAGGUAGUUGGUGGGGUAAAGGCUCACCAAGCCAACGAUCUGUAGCUGGUCUGAGAGGACGACCAGCCACACUGGAACUGAGACACGGUCCAGACUCCUACGGGAGGCAGCAGUGGGGAAUUUUGGACAAUGGACGCAAGUCUGAUCCAGCCAUUCCGCGUGCAGGAUGAAGGCCCUCGGGUUGUAAACUGCUUUUGUACGGAACGAAAAGGUUUCUAUUAAUACUAGGAGCUCAUGACGGUACCGUAAGAAUAAGCACCGGCUAACUACGUGCCAGCAGCCGCGGUAAUACGUAGGGUGCAAGCGUUAAUCGGAAUUACUGGGCGUAAAGCGUGCGCAGGCGGUUAUAUAAGACAGAUGUGAAAUCCCCGGGCUCAACCUGGGAACUGCAUUUGUGACUGUAUAGCUAGAGUACGGUAGAGGGGGAUGGAAUUCCGCGUGUAGCAGUGAAAUGCGUAGAUAUGCGGAGGAACACCGAUGGCGAAGGCAAUCCCCUGGACCUGUACUGACGCUCAUGCACGAAAGCGUGGGGAGCAAACAGGAUUAGAUACCCUGGUAGUCCACGCCCUAAACGAUGUCAACUGGUUGUUGGGUCUUCACUGACUCAGUAACGAAGCUAACGCGUGAAGUUGACCGCCUGGGGAGU
rnacentral:rRNA from 1 species